rnacentral:rRNA from 1 species
UUACCUACCCUUGACAUGUACGGAAGUCCGCUGAGAGGUGGAUGUGCUCGAAAGAGAACCGUAACACAGGUGCUGCAUGGCUGUCGUCAGCUCGUGUCGUGAGAUGUUGGGUUAAGUCCCGCAACGAGCGCAACCCUUGUCCUUAGUUGCUACGCAAGAGCACUCUAAGGAGACUGCCGGUGACAAACCGGAGGAAGGUGGGGAUGACGUCAAGUCCUCAUGGCCCUUAUGGGUAGGGCUUCACACGUCAUACAAUGGUCGGUACAGAGGGCUGCCAAACCGCGAGGUGGAGCUAACCCCAGAAAUCCGAUCGUAGUCCGGAUCGCAGUCUGCAACUCGACUGCGUGAAGCUGGAAUCGCUAGUAAUCGC